AUGCACAGAUGUGUGCAUCCUAGUGUGUGCACAGGCGUGUGCAUCCCCGUGCAAGCACAGGCAUGCGCAUCCUGGCAUGUGCGCAGGCGUGUGCAUCUUGGUGUGUGCACAGACAUGUGCAUCCUGAUGCAAGCACACGCGUGUGCAUCUUGGUGCAUGCAUAGACACAUGCAUCCUAGUGUGUGCACAGGCAUGUGCAUCCCUGUGCCGGCAUGGCAAGGGGCUGAGACAGAGUCCACAAGCAGCAGUGAUCGAUGCGGGGAGCAUGCUGCCGCCGUUAACCUCUGGGGUGCAGUUUCCCUGUUGCAGCGACCUCCCCAAGCCCAGGGUGGUCCCAGUCCCAGUCCCAGUCCCAGUCCUGGAGCUGGGGCUGCUCAUGGUCCCUUCCCGUGCCCUCUUCGUCCUCGCGGAUCGCCUCAGCUGUGCCGGAGCAACCUGUUGUCGCAGGAGCGGGAGGGCAGGAAGGGCUGGCGGGGACACGUGCACGGAGGGGCUGGGGAAGGCAGCAGGAGAGCGGAGAACCAGGCCACGCCGAGCCAGUCGGGUGCCCCAGCGGAGGGGCCGAGGGGUCCUGCGCCAUCCUCGCCACAGCACGCGCACCCUGUCCUCUUGGCGCCCGGGUUUGCCGGCGUGGUCCGUCCCCACCUGCGCCGCCUCCGAGCGGAGGCUUUGCGCCCUUCCGGGCGAGAGGAGAUCGCUGAAACAACAGCGACCGCGUUUCUCGUCUGCUUGAGGGGCAACGGAGCGUGGAAAGGGUUUGGGGGGGUGCGUCGGGGGCCGCCGGAGAGCUGGGGUGCGAGUGCUUCCUGUGGGAGCCCAUGCUGGCACCAGGCAGGCACGUCGGAGCGAGCGGGGUCCAGCUGGAGCAGGGCCCCCAUGCACACCCCCCUUCCCAUGCACACCCACAUCUCCAUGCACACCCUUGUCUCCAUGCACAUCCCUGUCUCCAUGCACACCCCUGUCUCCAUGCACACUUCCGUCUCCCCGCACACCCCCAUCUUCCCCGCACCCCCUCCCCAUGCACACCCCCGGCCCCCCGCACACCCCCGCGUGCGGAGGCUGCGCGCGAGCUGCAGCCUCGUCUCCCUAGGAAACCGAGCGGAGGCCAAAUUAGCGCUGGUGGGUGUCGGAGGGGGGCUGGAAACGUGGUCCGAAUUGCUCCGCACCCGGGAAGCUUUGCUGCAUCGCRCUGCGCCCGGAUGGCGCUCGCAACGAGCUCGAGCGGACCGGGGCCGCGCUGCAGGACCGUCCCUGCCCUCCGCGCUCGCACCUGCCUGGGCAUUUUGGGGGCUGCUCAAAGCUCGCCCGGAGCAUCCUGUCUUGGGCAGUGGGGAAUUCGGAUCAAUCCAGAGCUUGCAGGACUUUGCAGCCUGCAACGCUGCUGCUGGAAAAGGGUGCUGGGAGGACGCGUUUCCCCGGGAAGACCCAGUGGGUGAUGGGGGAAGCAUCAGGCACCGUUUUAGGGUCGACCCAGGGUGUCGCUCCCGGCUCCCUGCGGCCGCGGAGGCUCCUGCUACCCGCAGACCGUGCAAGGAGCGGGAAGGAAGCGGCCUCCCGCGGCUUUGCCGGAUCUUCCCGGCUCCUCGUCCUCGCCUUGCCUUGCCGUUCACACCUUCGCCCCGCUGGCUGCCCUCCUCCUCCUCCUCUUCCUCCUCCGUGGGCCUUUUGCAGGCUGCUAGGAGAAGAUGCAUUUGCCGGGCUGCGCGCUCCAAAAGUUGA
ensembl:lncRNA